rnacentral:rRNA from 1 species
GACGUAGGGUGCAAGCGUUGUCCGGAAUUAUUGGGCGUAAAGAGUUCGUAGGCGGUUACUUAAGUCUGGUGUUAAAGCCCGAUGCUCAACAUCGGCAUGGCAUUGGAAACUGGGUAGCUAGAGUGUGUCAGAGGUUACGGGAAUUCCUGGUGUAGCGGUGAAAUGCGUAGAUAUCAGGAGGAACACCUGUGGCGAAAGCGCGUAACUGGGGCAUAACUGACGCUGAGGAACGAAAGCCAGGGUAUCCAAAGGG